rnacentral:rRNA from 1 species
GUCUAUUAUGAAGUUAUUUAUAGUCUGGCCUGCUCCCUGACUANAUAGUUAAAGAGCCGCGGUAAUUUGACCGUGCAAAGGUAGCAUAAUCAUUAGUUUCUUAAUUGGAAACUUGUAUGAAAGGUCUGACAAAGAAAAAGCUGUCUUUAUUAUAAAAAUUGAAUUUAACUUUUAGGUGAAAAGGCUUAAAUAAUUUAGAGGGACGAUAAGACCCUAUAAAGCUUUAUAUAAGUAAUAAUUAAGAUUGAAUUUAUAAUAAGAUUAAAGGUAAUUAUACGAUAUAUUUUAUUGGGGUGAUAUUAAUAAAAGUGAUAUUAACUGUUAAGCGAAAAUACAUAGAUAAAAGAUUUAAAUUUGUUAAUGAUCCUUAUUAUAAAGAUUAAAAGAUCAAGUUACUUUAGGGAUAACAGCGUAAUUUUUUUUUAGAGUUCAUAUCGAAAAAAAAGAUUUCGACCUCGAUGUUGAAUUGUGAGUAUCUGUGUAAAGCAGCUAUUACACAAGAAGGUC